UCCAGACUCCUACGGGAGGCAGCAGUGGGGAAUAUUGGACAAUGGGGGGAACCCUGAUCCAGCGACGCCGCGUGAGUGAAGAAGUAUUUCGGUAUGUAAAGCUCUAUCAGCAGGGAAGAAAAUGACGGUACCUGACUAAGAAGCCCCGGCUAACUACGUGCCAGCAGCCGCGGUAAUACGUAGGGGGCAAGCGUUAUCCGGAUUUACUGGGUGUAAAGGGAGCGUAGACGGUGCAGCAAGUCUGAUGUGAAAGGUCGGGGCCCAACCCCGGGACUGCAUUGGAAACUGCCGCACUAGAGUGCCGGAGAGGUAAGUGGAAUUCCUAGUGUAGCGGUGAAAUGCGUAGAUAUUAGGAGGAACACCAGUGGCGAAGGCGGCUUACUGGACGGUAACUGACGCUGAGGCUCGAAAGCGUGGGGAGCAAACAGGAUUAGAUACCCCCGUAAA
rnacentral:rRNA from 1 species